GCGUGGGGAGCGAACGGGAUUAGAUACUCCGGUAGUCCCGCGGUAAACGAUGAGCACUAGGUGUAGCGGGUAUCGACUCCGCAUGUGCCGCAGCUAACGCAAAUAAGUGCCCCGCCUGGGGAUUACGCACGCAAGUGUGAAACUCAAAGGAAUUGACGGGGCCCCGCACAAUCGGUGGAGUAUGUGGUUUAAUUCGAUGCAACGCGAAGAACCUCACCAGGGCUUGACAUGUUGGUGGUAGGAAGCCGAAAGGUAACCGACCCUUCGGGGAGCCUUCACAGGUGCUGCAUGGCUGUCGUCAGCUCGUGUCGUGAGAUGUUGGGUUAAGUCCCGCAACGAGCGCAUCCCCUACCCUUAGUUGCCAUCAGUUCGGCUGGGAACUCUAGGGGAACUGCCGGUGACAACCCGGAGGAAGGUGGGGAUGACGUCAAGUCCUCAUGGCCGUUAUGUCAUGGUCUACACACGUAUUACAAUGGUCGGUACAAUGAGUCGCAAUACCGCGAGGUGGAGCCAAUCUCAAAAAUCCGGCCUCAAUUCAGAUUGGAGUUUGCAACUAGACUCCAUGAAGUUGGAAUUGCUAGUAAUCGCGGAUCAGCAUGCCGCGGUGAAUUUGUUCCCGGGGCUUGUACA
rnacentral:rRNA from 1 species